UGGGGAAUAUUGCACAAUGGAGGGAACUCUGAUGCAGCGACGCCGCGUGAGUGAUGAAGGACUUCGUUUCGUAAAACUCUGUUCUAUGGGAAGAAAAGGACUGUACCAUAGGAGAAAGCUCCGGCUAAAUACGUGCCAGCAGCCGCGGAAAUACGUAUGGAGCGAGCGUUGUCCGGAAUUAUUGGGCGUAAAGGGUGCGCAGGCGGCUUUACAAGUUGGAUGUGAAAUAUUGUGGCUCAACCACAAACGUGCAUCCAAAACUGCAAAGCUUGAGUUAAGGAGAGGUAAGUGGAAUUCCUGGUGUAGCGGUGGAAUGCGUAGAUAUCAGGAGGAAUACCGGUGGCGAAGGCGACUUACUGGACUUAAACUGACGCUCAGGCACGAAAGCGUGGGGAGCAAACAGG
rnacentral:rRNA from 1 species